rnacentral:rRNA from 1 species
AUGCUCCGCCCUUGCUCCAUCGUCCCCAUGGCUGGCGCUGCCCUGCAGGCAUGGCCGCCCGAAGCCUACGCGAGCACUGCAGGCUGCCCGGCCUUCACCCCCGGCUUGCGCCGGGUAAGGUGGCCCAUGAGGUUCAGGCCAGCGCUGCCCCCACGAUACGACGGCGUUGCAAACCCCGAAGAGUUCCUUCAACUAUACGCACAAGCCAUCCAAGCGGCGGGUGGCAACGACAAGGCCAUGGCAAACUGGCUCCCCAUGGCCCUAGCAGAGGCCCCCCGAUCUUGGCUUCGCGGCCUCCCGGACGCCUCGAUCUCCUCUUGGAAGGAGCUCUGUGAUCAAUUUGUCACACACUUUGCGGCACCGGCACCCCCACGCGGUCGCGUGCAUCAUCGGCGGGUCACGGGCGCCUGCUUCUGGCCGCCAUGUCAAGCAGCUCUUCCAUCGGGCGAGUGCUACUUGGCCGCAGCAUGA